rnacentral:tRNA from 1 species
AAGAGGGUUUAAGAAAUUAGCUGCUAACUAAAUUUUAAAGCAAUAUAAAUAUUUGUUUACCUCUUA